GGGGAAUUUUCCGCAAUGGGCGAAAGCCUGACGGAGCAAUACCGCGUGAGGGAGGAAUGCCUUUGGGUUGUAAACCUCUUUUCUCAGGGAAGAAGAUCUGACGGUACCUGAGGAAUAAGUAUCGGCUAACUCCGUGCCAGCAGCCGCGGUAAUACGGAGGAUGCAAGCGUUAUCCGGAAUCAUUGGGCGUAAAGCGUCCGCAGGUGGUUUCCAAAGUCUGCUGUUAAAGACUGGAGCUCAACUCCGGAACGGCGGUGGAAACUUGGAAACUAGAGUUCGGUAGGGGUAGCAGGAAUUCCCAGUGUAGCGGUGAAAUGCGUAGAUAUUGGGAAGAACAUCGGUGGCGAAGGCGUGCUACUGGACCGUAACUGACACUCAGGGACGAAAGCUAGGGGAGCGAAAGGGAUUAGAUACCCCUGUAGUCCUAGCUGUAAACGA
rnacentral:rRNA from 1 species